rfam:Drosophila grimshawi strain TSC#15287-2541.00 scaffold_15245 genomic scaffold, whole genome shotgun sequence.
CGAAUAAGUGAAUAAAGAGAGCUGUCCGUCGACAGUCCAGUAUAAAUUUUAAUACUGUCAUGGAAUUGCUCUCUUUGUAUGAUAUUCG